rnacentral:rRNA from 1 species
AACCUACGGGGGGCAGCAGUGGGGAAUAUUGGGCAAUGGGCGCAAGCCUGACCCAGCAACGCCGCGUGAAGGAAGAAGGCUUUCGGGUUGUAAACUUCUUUUCUCAGGGACGAAGAAAGUGACGGUACCUGAGGAAUAAGCCACGGCUAACUAAGUGCCAGCAGCCGCGGGAAUACGUAGGUGGCAAGCGUUAUCCGGAUUUAUUGGGUGUAAAGGGCGUGUAGGCGGGAGCGCAAGUCAGAUGUGAAAACUCAGGGCGCAACCCUGAGCCUGCAUUUGAAACUGGGUUUCCUGAGUACUGGCGG